ACCUCCCAAGCUGCUGGGAUUACAGGCCUGCGCCAUUGCACCCGGCUAUAAAUUUUUCCUUUGUUAAGUAUGUUGUAGUCUAUAAACUGACACUAAAGGAAAUGCUGGUGAAUGAAUCUGUUGAUUAUUUAUUAAGAUGAUAAUUUUGUCUUAUGUUUUAUUUGUUGAUCUGACCUUAUUUAUUGUGAAAUAGUUAAAAUUUGUGCAUGAACCCACCCUUACUGGUAAUCCUGGUCCCCUCAGUGGCAUGGGACGCAGAGGUCCUCUUAUCUGAAGAGUUUGAGGCCCUUCCAUGUGGCAGACUUCAGAACCCCUGCCCUGUUCUCUUGAUCGGAAUCCUGGCAUCCUUCCGAAACUGCCUAAAGCCCUGUCCUUCGGGAAACACCACCUUUGACCACUUUUAUUUCCAAAUAUUUUGAAGCCUGAGUUCUAGGCUUUUACUUGGAGAAUUAGUAUUCUUUGGCUUCAAGAAGCACAGAGGGAGACAUAAAGAGUAACAGAACAAUAAUGAAUAAAUACUGAAACCAGGCACUGACAGGGCUUGUGGGAACACAAGGGAACACCUAAUCACAGAGUUGCUGGGGUCUGUUAAGGCCAUUUCUGUACUGAAAGGAGCCUUGAAUCCCCAGCCAUCCUGGGCACUUCCUAGGUGAGAGUGGGUACACCAAUAUGAGAAACAACUUGUUCUUUGCCUAAAGAUAAGUCUGGUUUUGUCCUUGAUUGGGCUGGUUUUAAGGACUGAAGUGAGAGUUCCAACAGAAAAUGAAAUGUGGCAACUGUGGUGAGAUUUCAGAGAAAUGGCAGUACCUCCGGCUUAUGGAUAGUGUGGAACUGAAGGGAGGCCGUCACAGUGUCUCCAUGGUCCAGAAGUGCAAGCUAUGUGCACGGGAAAACUCAAUAGCUAUUUUGAGAAGCACCAUCCAAUCUUACAAUGUAAGUUUGCUGCUAUAGUGGGAGAUGUGGUGGGUUUAAAUCUAAACUGGGAGCUAGGAGGCCU